GGUAUUUUCCAUUAAAUAGAUGUGACGGCGUAUAGAAUAUAGUAAGAUUGAAGAAAAAAUGAUUGAGCCUUAUUGUCAAAAAAAGAAUAGGAUCGAGCCUUUUAUUUUUCCUGCUCAAGAUUAAAGAGAAUAAUCCUUACUUCACUGUUUCUUUUCCGUUAAUCCUUAAUUUACCGCUCACCUCUGCUCAGAUUCCGACCUCUAUCUCGAAGUAUUUACUCCAUCUGUCUAUCAUUGAAAUCACACUAUGCAGGGGGAGAUGAUAUUACCUGGACUAAGGAUAUGAGAAAGUCACUAUAAAAAGGCUUAAAUAUUGCAUUGAACAAACUGAGAACAAAUAACCACAAAAAUAGAGGGAUAGCACCGAAAUAAUUGGACUGGAAUUAGGGGCUAAUAAGAAUUGAACAUGAAAGUACAGAAAGAAAGUAGCAAUAUCAUAGUGUUCGAUAAGGAGAUGCAGCCUAUGAUGCAGCAGUUCGAGGGUAUGGAUAAGGUGGUGCAGCAAUUCGGGGGAUAAGGCGGUGCAGCAUGUGGUGCAUCAGUUUGGGGGUAUGGACUAGGAAACGCGGCAUAUGGUGCCCCUGUUUGGGGGUAUGCAUAAGGUGGUGCAUAUCUUUUUGGGGGUAUGGAUAAGGAGGCGCAGCAAUUUGGGGGAAUCAAAUUGCCUUCAAAUGAUGUU